rnacentral:rRNA from 1 species
GAUGAACGCUGGCGGCGUGCCAAUACAUGCCAGUCGAACGAAACUUCUUUAUCACCGAGUGCUUGCACUCACCGAUAAAGAGUUGAGUGGCGAACGGGUGAGUAACACGUGGGCAGCCUGCCCAAAAGAGGGGGAUAACACUUGGAAACAGGUGCUAAUACCGCAUAACCAUAGUUACCGCAUGGUAACUAUGUAAAAGGUGGCUAUACUACCGCUUUUGGAUGGGCCCGCGGCGCAUUAGCUAGUUGGUAGGGUAAAGGCUUACCAAGGCAAUGAUGCGUAGCCGAAUUGAGAGGUUGAUCGGCCACAUUGGGACUGAGACACGGCCCAAACUCCUACGGGAGGCAGCAGUAGGGAAUCGUCCACAAUGGGCGAAAGCCUGAUGGAGCAACGCCGCGUGGGUGAAGAAGGUCUUCGGAUCGUAAAACCCUGUUGUUAGAGAAGAAAGUGCGUGAGAGUAACUGUUCACGUUUCGACGGUAUCUAACCAGAAAGCCACGGCUAACUACGUG